rnacentral:snRNA from 1 species
AAAACAAUGUACAAGAGGAGAUACCAUGAUCAUGAAGGUGGUUCUCUCAGGGUGAGGGUUAUUCAUUGUACUCUGGAUGUGCUGACCCCUGCGGUUUCCCCACAAAUGGGAAACUUGACUAUAUAAUGUGUGGUAACGGGGGACAGCCUUCACACUUUCCCCUG